UUACAAUAACGAAUUCCUAUUGAAUCCUAGCGAGAGCUAACAUAUCGCAAAGCUUUUUCGAUGGUUUAACAAACCGAUGUCCGUAUGCCUCAAACGGCAGAGUUUCCUUCUUUUAAACAAGUGGCUAUUUUUUUUUGCCUAGAGGAUCAUUUUCGGCAGAUAUUUGGCGUUACUGCUCGUUGCAGGAUACAGGCACUGAAAAAGCCUAAGCUUCUACAAAAAAUGACCUUACAAGUGAGAAGUUGGUUUCCCCAAAAACAAGCUUUACUACAAACAGUCUCGAGGAGUCAACUUAUCAGCCUGAUCAGGGCAGAUAAGUUCCAUUUAACCUGACUAGCAAUGCAGUUCAGGCCACUAUUCUAAACAACAAAGGGCACAGCUGCUACAGCUGGUGGAGCAAGCGAUCACGGCCAUCUCCACCUGGACCUGAGAAACAUUUCUACCCUGUAAAGGCCGUCGCACAGGAUAUUAUACUUUCCAAGGAUUUAGCGACAACUGUUUGUUGGAUGGAUCGCUUUUGUUACCACGAUGGCGAUUCGAAACAAGCUAAUAACUACACCGUCCUCAAGCGAACGUCAAAAAAUCAGACAGGGCUUUGCAAAUGUAUUUGUUAAGGACAAAAGCAGAAAUUCCCCCAGGGGUUUGCCAGUUUUAAAAUAGACGACACUGACUGUCGCCAACAUACUUAACCAUGUCCAGGAUAUUUGGAGCAUCGACGAACGAUGGGAUCGGGUUGCGCGUCAAUUAAUUUCUUCAGCCAAUGGAGACGCGGCCGAAAAAAAGUUACAACAAAAAAUGUGUGCGGCAUUAUCGAUCAUCGCUCUUCCAUCUCGUCUGCUAAUAAAAUUGAAACGACGUACCGCUGAACGUACCCCCGCAUUGCAGGUACAUUUUAGCUGUAGACAAUGCAGCCUGUUUUCCCUGUUUCUACCGGUUUCUUCCCUGUCCAACAUUUCCUAUAGCUGAUUCGAGAGAGUCAGUCCUGCUU